rnacentral:rRNA from 1 species
AGAGUUUGAUCCUGGCUCAGAACGAACGCUGGCGGCAUGCCUAACACAUGCAAGUCGAACGAGAAAGCGCCUUCGGGCGUGAUUAGAGUGGCGCACGGGUGAGUAACGCGUAGAUAAUCUACCCUCCAGACUGGGAUAACUCUUUGAAAGAGGAGCUAAUACCGGAUAAAAACUUUUGUCGAGUGGCGAGAGUUUGAAAGUUCCGGCGCUGGGGGAGGAGUCUGCGUCCCAUUAGCUAGUCGGUGAGGUAACGGCUCACCGAGGCAACGAUGGGUAGCGGGUCUGAGAGGAUGAUCCGCCACACUGGAACUGAGACACGGUCCAGACUCCUACGGGAGGCAGCAGUGGGGAAUCUUGCGCAAUGGGCGAAAGCCUGACGCAGCAAUGCCGCGUGAGUGAAGAAGGCCUUCGGGUCGUAAAGCUCUUUAUCUCUGUGAAGAUGAUGACGGUAGCAGAGGAAUAAGCACCGGCUAACUACGUGCCAGCAGCCGCGGUAAUACGUAGGGUGCGAGCGUUGUUCGGAAUUACUGGGCGUAAAGGGUGCGUAGGCGGAACAGUUAGCUAGAGGUGAAAGCCCGGGGCUCAACCCCGGAACGGCUUUUAGAACUGCUGUUCUAGAGAGGGUCAGAGGCUAGCGGAAUUCCUGGUG